AAAAUAGGUCUGUACAUUUUUGAGCACCCAAAGUGGUAAGAGACAUUCUUGAAAACAGCUUAAAAAUUUCUGUAGAUACCACCACAAAUAAUCCACACAAUACUUCAACAAGCAUUUAUUAAACGCCUACUAUGUGCUCAGCACUAUACUAGGCACUCGGGGGUGCAGAGAUACAAAUGUAAAAGUUAUUAUUCCUGCCCUCAAGGAGCUUACAAUUUAAUUUUGGAAAUAAAUACAAAUAUGAAACUGUAACACAGAGUGCUAGAAAAUAAUUACAAAGCAACAUAUUAGUAAGUACAUGGACCACAGUACAAACUCAAAAGAUAAGUGCUGAGGCAGCACAGAAUGAGGGAGGUCAUCGCAUGAGGUGAUGUCAAUCAGGGAGAGCUCAGUCAGAAGAUAUAAAGGAAGAAAGGCUUUGAAGGGAGUGAUGAACAUGAGCUGGGACCAAAGAGCAAUCUAAGCAAAAAGAAUAGCAUGAGAAAGGCACAGAGGCAAGAGCUUGUAAGACAUCAGUAGAAGGCUGUAGGAAGUUUGAAUCUGUUGAAUCAAGGUGAAUAUGCUAGAGAGUAAUGAAGGCUGAUGAAUAUUAGGCAUAGAGGUAAUGGAGAAUUUGGAACACCACUGCUCCAUAGGAAUUAUCUACUGGGUGUUACUUAGUGAAAAUGAAAUUUUACAAUAGAGAUAUUGUAAAAAUGGGUGUUUGAGGAGGAUCGUCUUUGAAAAAUUAUCUACUGGGUGUUACUGAAAAUGAAAAUUUUACAAUACGGAUAUUGUAAAAAUGGAGUUUGAGGAGGAGCACCUUAGAAACUUUAUACAAGAUGGGGAUCCUGGGAGCAAGGAAAUUGGAAAAAAAAGAAUUACAGUAACCUGGGCCUCAGAUCUACAUGAAAAGCUAUAAUGGGAUGAGAGAAAUGGGAGAUCAAGCCUCAAGGAGAAAACUGAUUAAAAACUGGACUGACAGCAAGUUUUUGGACAUGGAGAAUGGAGAGCAGAAAAAGAUAACUCCAAGGCUGGGGUAAAAAUAUAAAGGUGGUGACACUUUUCAGGGCAAAGGAAUUACGCAAUGAGGCCUGUUUAAAAAGAAAACGGGGGCUGGGGAUAUAUGGUGAUGAAUCCUGUUUUCAAAUAUCAAGUUGUACAGGUAAUUGAAUCACGGGGGCAGAACUUUCCUGUGCUGUUCUUGUGAUAGUGAAUAAGUCUCACAAGAUCGGACGGUUUUAUAAAGAGUUCCCCUGCACAAGUUCUCUCUUUGCCUGCUGCCAUCCAUGUAUAAGACAUGAUUUGCUCCUCCUUGCCUUCCACCAUGAUUGUGAGGCGUCCCCAGCCAUGUGGAACUGAGUCCAUUAAACCUCUUUCCUUUAUAAAUUACCCAGUGUCAGGUAUGUCUUUAAUAGCAGCAUGAGAACAGACUAAUACAUUUAUCAUGAGCCUGAGAAAGGCAUAACAGGGUUGGGCACAUAGUAAGUGCUCAAUAAACGUCGGCUAUUAUUAUUUGGAGACUCAGAACCAAGAGUAAAGUUAACUGCUCUGUUUGGGAAUCAACCACCAUAUUCUAGCACUGCACCUUGCUCCAUGGAGAAAAUCUCUGAAACCUAACAUGCCUCUCCCAGGGCUAUGUUGGAUGGCAUUAGAGUUAUGAAAGAACCACCUUAUCAUGUCAGUUCCUAAAAUGAGAAGCUUAGGAUGGGAGGAGAAAGUACUGAUGAAUAGUUCAUUUCAGAUGAACAUAAAGAUAGAAUCUAUAGGAUAAAGGAGCUUAAUGAAUGCCAUUCACAGUUAAGAGCUCAAAAUGUCAUACAGCCUAGUCAAUAAUAUUCUAUGCUAAGAGUGUGAACUUGAGACAAAGAAUGAUUUCUAGUGAUGUCCUCAAAGAAUCCACAGCCUUUUUCUAUUGUCUUAUACCAUUUGGCUAAUUCUGUAUAUGUGCUGUAUCAGCUUUGAUAAUUCUUUCAAGACACAGUCUUUUCUCACACCCAAUAUAACACUAAUUUUUCUAGUCAUAUUAUUUUCUCCAAAUUUAUGCCACAUGCUUAGUAAUUCUGAGAUUUAAGUAAUCUGGCUACAUAUUACUCUUAAUACUGACACAUAAAGAGACUUUAGCUAGUACAUCUGUAUACAUUUCAAUGUGUUGCUCUGGUCUAUGGCCAUACCACCCUGAAUGCACCCAAUUUUGUUAAUAUGUUGCAUUGCUAAAAGGACUUU
rnacentral:lncRNA from 10 species